CAGUAAUGAGGCUCAAUGCAACAUCCUCAAUGUGUGAGAGAGCAUGUCACUGUGGCUGCAUGGGGUUAAGUGCUGUGCUGUGCUCCUGUUGAUCUGCACCAGUGUUGCCUAUGGCUCUGCCUACGCUGAAUACCAGGUGGCUUUUUCAAUGAGCAGGAGGAAUUCAGAGCCCAA